rnacentral:rRNA from 1 species
GGAAACCAAGUCUGAAUAGGGCGCAAUUUAGUCGCUGCGAAUAGACCCGAAACCGGGUGACCUACCCAUGGUCAGGAUGAAGUUACCGUAAAAGGUAAUGGAGGUCCGAACUCACAUCUGUUGAAAAAGGUGGAGAUGAACUGUGGGUAGCGGAGAAAUUCCAAUCGAACCCGGAGAUAGCUGGUUCUCCUCGAAAUAGCUUUAGGGCUAGCGUUGUUAGGAGUCUAAUGGAGGUAAAGCACUGAAUUCCCUAGGGGGCCCACAAGCUUACCGAAGGAUAUCAAACUAAGAAUGCCAUAAAGAUACCAACAGCAGUCAGACUACGAGUGAUAAGACACGUGGUCAAAAGGGAAAGAGCCCAGACCAUCAGCUAAGGUCCCCAAGUGUAUGUUAAGUGGAAAAGGAUGUGAGAUUUCGAAGACAACUAGGAUGUUGGCUUAGAAGCAGCCAUACAUUCAAAGAGUGCGUAAUAGCUCACUAGUCGAGAGAUCUUGCGCCGAAAAUGUCCGGGGCUAAAACAUACCACCGAAGCUAUGGAAUUGAUCUUAGAUCAAUUG